ensembl:lncRNA
AAUCCAAUCCUCAUGCCAAAUUUUUGCUGUUGGAUUCAGCUUUCUUGGACUUUGAUGCUAAACUACUGUUAGCUAUCAGUGAUCAUCACUGGGAUUCGGUUAAAUGUGCUUUGAAAUUUAUGGCUUGCUUUUAUUUUGCUCUGCUGAAGGACAGAUGAAGAUGGACAACCAUUUGGAUGAUGGAAAUUAGCUAGAAAGGGACCUGUAUUUUUAUGAAUUACCCCAUUUUGGGGAGGUGGUUGUAUCUGGACCCAAGAGUUGGAUGCGAUCCCUAUGGGUCCCUGGCAACUCUGGAUAUUCUAUAUAAGAGUGGUGAGGAAACUCUGAUGCCCAUGGUGCCCCUGGAGAAUACAGAGGAACUCAGAGGACACGAGACCAGACCAAGACCCAGCUUUUUUAGUGUUUACUUCCACAACCAAGAUUACACAAUCAGAAGCAUGUAUUUGAAGCCAGCUCCAAGCCAGCGACACAGGCUCUGCUGAUGGAACCCAGCUGCUUAUAGGACUCAAUGAGGGAGUACGUCUGCUGCAGAUUUUUAGACCUGCAUCCUCAGUACUUCAGGAAGCUGAGAAACCCAUAAGACAUUUGGAAAUGUUCCUCAGUAAUUUUUUUAUUUUAACAAAUGCAAGUGAAGAACACUUCACUAGUGGUUGGCAACCCUGGCCAUGGCAGGUGGGUUGGAAUUGGAUGAUGUUUAAGAUCUCUUCAAAUCCAAUGCAUUCUAUGAUUCAUAAGCCUGUGAACUCAUAGGAAUAGCUGUUGUGACGUCCACAGCACACUGAGGCUCUCUCAUCUUGGCAUAGAGAAUGGGGAGGGGGGAUGAAGCCUGUAGGAGGGUGGCUCAGAGAGCAAGAAUUUGUGAGCUCGAGUGCUAUGUGCACAACCGAGGCUAUGAGACCUUGAGGCUGUCAAAGCAGGAAGAAAAACUGAGGCUUCAGUUAAG